rnacentral:rRNA from 1 species
CUCCACCGUACUGCACACACACUCCAUCACGACCUAGUAACCCCCACUUCGUCCAGAGGAGCUGCCCACGAUGUAGACUCCAAGGUGACGCUCUCCUCAAGCGGCUGUCGGUACUCGUGGGUCCAGGUCAAGGAGACCAGAACACAAACGUUUGUCGCUUCGUCCUUAACGGUAAGAACGACUGAGUUUACGACCCAGACCAACGCCAGUCCGCCAACUGCCGCUGCCACCACCCCUACAGGGGUUCGAAUGGUCGGACGGAGGAAGUACGCACCAACGCACGUCGGAGCCUAGAGACUACGCCUAGACUUAAACCUAUCCAACGGACGAGUUAGACAUCUUAACUAACUUCUACUUAGGACUUCAACUGUUUUUUC